UCAAAACACAUGUAUUGGUAUAGGCGCCGUACAGGCAUGGCAACUCUGUCUUAUUAUUACUGAGGUGAGUUUGAUUGGUCAAACACUUGAGCUAACCUUUCACAAUGCCAUACCUUGAUAUUUGGAACUUUUUCUAAUGAAGUCUGUCACUUGUCAAAAUUUUUGUUUGGAGUGAUUUGGACUAGAUAUGAUGUCAUUCUUAAGAAUUCUUAAGAAAUUAGACGAGAAUGUUGAUUUAUUUGUGAAUGUGCUAUUGGUUAUAAUGUGUCAAAAUGCCGCAAACUACAAUGAAAUAUACCAGAGACUCCAUGAAUCAGGUAUUACAAGCUGUAAGCAAUGGCGUUCCGUUUAGGACAGCAGCCAAGCAAUUUGAAGUACCAAAAACAACGCUUGCAUAUAAAAUGAGAAGUGAUCUACCUCAAGUAUGUCGUAAGGACUACCAACCAAUUCAUCUCGAGAAUAAGAAAAUGCUUUGGUGAAAUGGCUACUUUAUUUUGGUGAUAGAGGGAUUCCCGCUACCAAAACUCAACUCAUGGAUUCAGUUGAAAUGCUUAUGAAAAACUGAGUUUUAUACUUGAUAAUGGGGUUAAACCCGAAACCAGUCGUAUAAAUCUACCAGUGGUAUUUAGACAAAAGUGUUUUUAUUCAUUUCAUUUAAGACAUUUGUUACAACCGCUAAAUGUAGCCGUAUUCAGGCCCUUGAAGUUUGGCUGGAAGGAGGAAAUUAAAAGCUGGAAAAUUGAGAAUGAUGGUGCCAAAUUCAAAAGAUAACAUUUUUGGAAUUGUGUUAAAAGCAGCAGUAGAAAGAUAUGUUAAUGUUGAAACAAUUGCAAAUGGAUUCAGUUCCACGGGUUUAUUUCCAUUAGCUCCUAAUGCAAUUGAGUACAAUAAAUAUUUCAAGGGUCAAUAAGUUUACAUGAAAACUAAGAUUAUGACCAAGACAAACAAUUGAAAAAAAUUUUUGAAAUAUUUUGAGAGUAAAAUACAUGCAGAUACUCUUGAACACUUUCAAAAUAUUGGAUUUAAUAACAUGGAUUGGCAGAAAUCAAGAUAAAUUACUCUUUAGAGUUCGGUGGAAAAUAUCCAAUGAGGUAAAAAAUCUUAAUGAAACAAUGAUAGAAGACAGGGAGAAUGUCCAGAAAGCAACUGAUGUGAAUAAUAUCCAGCAUGAAUAUGGGGAUGGUUCAGCAACACACAAGCACCAAUAACUGAUAAUGAAGAUCAGCAGACAAAUGCAGCACCAAUUACUAAUGAUAAAGAUCAGCAGACCAAUGCAGUACCAAUUAUUGAUAAUGAAGCUCGGCAGAUCAACACAGCAUCAAUUAUUGAUUUGCAAAGGCCAAGCUCUUCAAUUCCUUUUAACGUACCUUUACCUUUUAAAAAUUGUUUGUUCUGACCUGAGCCUGCAAAAGCUCAAAACCAAAAAGAUUCAAAGAAAAAAUACCCUAUGUAGCCUCUUCUGAACAGUGGCAGGCUUACCAUAUUAAAAAACAUUACAUUUAAAAGAAAAAGAAGAAAGGAAGAGUAAAAGAAAAGAAAAGAAAAAUAUAAAAUUACCUGAACCAAAAAUUAGAAGAGUAAAAAAAGAAAGUAUUGGAUGAAGACACAUCAUCUAAUUCUUUUCUCGAAAUAAAUUUGGAAAGUGAGGGUGAAGGAGAUGAUUGGGGACAUGUAAGUGAAGAUGAAGGAGAUAAUAACAAUGAAUACAAAAUUGGACAUCAUGUUAUUGUCAAAUAUGACGAUAGUUUUUAUCCAGGAAGAGUAAUAGAUAAAAAUAUUUCCAAAUAUUUGAUAUCAGUUAUGGUGUCAAGUAGCAUCAAUAACGGGAGGUGGCCGGUCAAUAAAGACGAAAUUUGGUACUAUGAAGAGGAAAUUAUUGAAAUAAUUCCAGAACCAAUGGUUUAAAAAAAAAGAGGAAUUUAUAAAGUUCCAUAACUGGAAAAGUAUAGUACAUACUACAUUCCAUGAUGUAAUGAACACUAUAAAAUGAAAUAAAACUUUUCAUUUUAA